rnacentral:rRNA from 1 species
AAUCAACGCUGGCGGCGUGCCUAACACAUGCAAGUCGAACGCGAAAGCCCGCAAGGGCAAGUAGAGUGGCGCACGGGUGAGUAACACGUGGACAACCUGCCUUCGAGUGGGGAAUAACCUUCCGAAAGGAGGGCUAACACCGCAUAACACCUCAGGACACAAGUUCUGAGGUUGAAAAGAGCAAUUUGCUCGAAGAGGGGUCUGCGCCUGAUUAGCUAGUUGGUGAGGAACGGCUCACCAAGGCUUCGAUCAGUAGCCGUCCUGAGAGGGAGCACGGCCACACUGGAACUGAGACACGGUCCAGACUCCUACGGGAGGCAGCAGUGGGGAAUUUUUGGCAAUGGGCGAAAGACCUGACCAAGCAACGCCGCGUGGGU